UUCUCCCGCCCCGCCCCGCCCGGCCCGGCCCGGCGCCGAGCGCCAAGCCACGGGCGGGCGGGAAAGCCCGUCGCCCGCUGCCGCGAGGCGCACGCCAGACGGAGCGGGCAGCGGGCAGCGGGCUCCGGGCGGCGCCCCGAGAGCAGGAGCCGGCACCUCGGGCUCUGCCCCCGGCGAGGGCGUCCUCCCCUCGAGCCCAGCACGAAGCUUCGCUAACGGCCCGGGGCAGGGCUGUGUCUUUCGGUCUCAGGCUGAAGACACAACAAAUAUCACUUCAGCGGGACGAGCUAGAAAACGUGAAAUGGGAGCUGCAUGAGCAGGAGCAGCCUGGCCGGGCUGGCGAGACGUGAAGGCCCGCAGAGGAGCGGGGUGGAGAACCGCUUGCGGGGUGCCAGGGACAUGACAAUGAGCCAUGAAGUCAGUUGACUCCCCUCAGCACUGCCCGCGCAGAAACGCUGCUGCCACUGCCAGGCGCUUGGUUUUAAACUUUGGGUGGAGCAGGAAUCAAAGCGGGAGCGGGGUGCGAGUGCACGGGCGGAUCCACCCCUUUCUGUGUCAGCGGGCUCCUCUAGAGAAAAGGUUCCCAAACUUUUUCCUGUUGCACCCCCCCUUCCACAUUUACCGGCUGCCAGAUACGUUUUAUAUUUUCACCCCAUAAAUGUCAAUUAUAAUUAUAAUGAAAAUUAAAUCUGCCAUUGCACAAUUUCUCUUGCAUACCCCCCAGAGAUGUCUUGCGUACACCCAGGGGUAUGUGCACCACCAGUUUGGGAACCCUUGCUCUAGAGCCGCUCACAGAAUCUGCACCCCAAAGUGGCCAAGGGAACAUGCUUUGAGAGGACCUCAGCUGUGGCUCUGAGCCCAGCAAGCCAAGGGCUGGAGCUGAUGCCUAAUCUCCAUUGGCCUUCUGCACCAAGGCUGAGUUGUUAGGACUGGAAACUGGCCGUCCUGUUGCCUGCAGCCCCUGCUCAUUUCAUCUGAAAGCUGUAAACAGAUGUUGCCCCAGGAGAAACUUUUCUUGCAGGGCAUUGUGGUUGUAUAGAUGUUCAUUUCUGGUGUCCUGAGGCAAAGCAUGAAAAUCCAUUAGGGAUAAGAAGCAGCAACAGUUUCUUCUGAGACACUGCAAAGUACAUCUGAACAGUUGUCUUGGAAGAUCAUCUCAGGAUAAGCAGCCCAGAUGGUCCCCAGAGCGUCCCAUAAGACACCACGCCCACCCUAAUCCUGGCCCCUUUUGAACUUGAGGUAGCCACUGUAGCCCUGGUGGCAGCACUCGUAUGGUUAGGGGCUUACAGGACAAGCCCUUUGAGGAGUGACUGAGGGACCUGGACCUCUUCAGCCUCCACAAGAGAAGGCUGAGAGGUGAUCUUGUAGCUGCCUACAAAUUCAUUAGGGGGACGCAGAAGGGAUUGAAGAUGUUCUGUUCACCAGGGCACCUCUUGGGGUAACAAGGAACAAUGGUCACAAACUGACAGGAGAUUUAGGCUAGGUAUCAGGAAAAAUUUCAUCACGGUAAGGGUGGCCAAACUUUAGAAUGGGCUUCCAAGGAAGAUGAUGUUCUCCCCUACCUUGGGGGUCUUUAAGAGAAGGCUGGAUAAGCAUCUGGAUAGGCAUCAGAUGAGCCCAGCACUCUUUCCUGCCUAGGCAGGGGGUCGGACUCGAUGAUCUGUUGAGGUCCCUUCCGACCCUAGCAUCUACGAAUCUAUGAAUCUGUGAAAACCAUGGACACACACAUCCACCCAUCCUCAGUCCCAUCCACUCAUGAGGGACAUCAGACCAAUCAUUCACACAUUGAGCCAACGUCCAUUUUGGAUACCCUCCUCCAUACAUCUAUCCACCUACAAUGAUGGUUCUACUAUCCUUGCCAUCCUUGACAUUUGCAAGUGCAGCACCAGUUGGACCUGGGAGAAGGCAGCAGAUCUUGCCAUUUGAAGAGAGGUCAAGCAGUAGCAGAUACUCCAUUCAAGCCACUGAAACUAGGCAGUCUUCAAACAGGUCACUGCAAAUGGCAGCAUAUGGGCAUGACCUUGAUUGGAUCCAGUGCUGCUCCAGGUACAAGGUAUUGAGGCAGCAGUUCAUGAGAACACAGGACAUCAACCAUGUGCCUGGCACAUGCAAGAAUACAUGGGCUUUCCAUGAGGACCUGUCCCACAUCCUCACAGUAGAUGACACGGUGCAGUUCACCACAUGAUGGACACAUUUACAUUGUCUAGAUCAGUGGUAGACUCCAAAUCCACUAUGGCUGAAAGCACACAGCCCUCCCAGGUGACUACAGUGAUGCCCCAGGAGAUGUGUCAUGUUGAGGACUUGCAGAUUGUCAUGGACAGCAGUACAGACUCCAAGAUGGACCUGCCUCACAUAGUGAGCAUCCCUGAAGCAAAAGACUUGGGCUAACAUGCUGAACUCAGCCAUCUUUACUGACAAAAUUAAAACUAUGCAUAAUGUGAUAAUGAGUUGGUUACCUCACCUGCCCCCUACUGGUCAGGGAUGGAGAUGCCCAGCUAUGUUAGAAUCGGUCCAGGUGAUCUGCGUUUAGACAUUUUGCAGUCUAUCUCAGAUAUUGCAGAGGCACCUGUCCUAAAAUCUCUGUGUAGUUCCCAGAGGUGAAAUGGCAUGAGUUUGCACCUAACAGCCAGCAUGCCUUGGCCCAAAUCAUUUUGAGUGCACUGAACUCACACACAAGGGAUGCCUUGUGAGUUCACUGAAUUGAGCUUUCUGACACCUCAUGGGAGAGUAUCACCCAGGACUGCCCCAAAUGGAGGGAGAGUCUGCUGCAAGGAUCUUAGUACUUUGAAACCUUAUGACAGGGGUAGGCAAAAUGCAGCCCGUGGGCCAGAUGUAGCCCACCAGGGCAUUCUAUUUGGCCCGCAGAGCCCCUAAAAAAUCUAGAAAAUUAACAUUUAUCUGGCCCUGGCUGCCUGUCAUGCAGCCCUCGUUGGCUUGCCAAAACUCAGUAAGCAGCCCUCCACCCAAAAUAAUUGCCUGCCCCUGCCUUAUGAUGACAACAGGAGACAGAAAAAUGCAAGUGGCAGAAACAGCCUGCUGCGAACCAAACGGAGAACCUAGAGCCACCCACCUCGUGUGGAAACUGUGGCAGAAAUGCCACCGUCUGUGUCCCUCUCCAGAAAUCUGUCUCUGCCAGCGUGAGAGGCUGGUGUUGAAUUCCUCAGGGAGGGGGAUCUUCCUCCCUGCCUACAUGACAAAAGCCUGGUGCCUCGGAUGUGGAUUCUCUGGUCACCUGGGGAGGGGGAGAGAAAAGCCCCGCUAACCGGCCCAGGUGACCUGUGAUGCUUUUUUAAUUGGUUGGCUAGUGGCCAGCACUAGCAGCUUCGAUUGGACUGGGCUGCUGAGGUCAGAAAGGUUAUUUAAAGGCCCGGUCCAGGAAGAAGGAAGCCAUUAGACAUGUGGUCAUCGAGGUGAAUCUGAAACUGGGAGAGGAGCUUCACCAUCUGAAACAGGCUCUCUCCUCAUAACCGCAUGCUCAAAGAGUGACCUGCCUCCAGAGGAAAACUCCAACCACCUCUGGAUGAUGCGUGUAGGCCUUGUCAGCCAUCUUCAGACCCACAUAAGACAAUCAUGGAAGACAAUCAUCCUCAACUGCAGGGGAUUGCUGGUGGUGAUGACUGUUCCACUGAUGGAUUCUCAUGUCCUGCUUCAGGAUGAUCAUCUUCACCAACUGAUUUGGAUGAAAACAGCAUGAAGCCUGCCAUGUUUCAAGGAGAUAGAUGCAGGGGUUUCUGUGGAAGUGCACCUCAAACUGUUGAAAACAAAACUCAUAUCACUUGUGUGUGUUAAGGCAAAGCAGGAUGAAUGAAGCAGGGAUGGUAGCCCCUUGUGCAGGCAUGAGGCCUGCCAGGUUUCAGGCAGAGUGGUGCAGAGGUUUCUGUGAAAGUGCACCUCAAGGCUCUGAAAGCAAAUGAAAAAAGCAAAUAGGUGCAGAGUGAGGAGGGUGGCACUCACUCUGUCUGCAUGUGGAGCUUGGGGAACCCCAGCAGUGGGAGGUUCACCUUGAGGAACACCAGCUGCUCCACCAAACCAGGAUCCAAGGAGGUAUGGUGGGGUAUCACAACAUCACCAGCAAUGCUGAACACCCUCUUGCUUGGAACACUGGUUGGUGGACAGGACAGGUGAUCCUGGCAACCAUGGCCAGAUUUUGCCAUACCUGGCAGCAAGUUGCCCAAUAAGCCAAGGGGUCGCACUGCUGCAGCUCCACAUCCUCAGCAGAUAGGUAGCCACUGAGGCCUCCACGCUACCUGCCAGAUGGUGGGGUCUGGUGCUUCUGGACCCCAACAUUGAAGCCAUGCCCUUGGCCCACAUUGGCAGUUGGUGUGGUGGAGGAGAUUGGCUGGUGGUUGGAGUGUAGGCAUGGGAAAGUGAACCCCCCUUUUCUACCUCCCCCUGCCUCUGCCCUUCUGCCUCCCUGACUGUUCACCAGCACCUCUGUCCAGUGUUCGAGGGUUUUGCUGCUGCAGACAGUCCCCUUCACCCUUGGGUUGCACAUGCCCACCAGCACAUGGACCGUACUGGACUGCAAUGGAUCCAGCCGUUUUUUGAUGCCCUCCUUCAGCUGCUUCACCAGUGCCUGAACCUCUGGUGAAAGUGACUUGCCCCAGCCAGGAACAUCGAUCCCCUGGAACUUCACCAUUUCAUUCUCAAGCUCUUGCACUAUGGGGAUCACCUGGGUGAAGAGGGCAUUGCCAGUGCUGAAACUCUCAGUGGCCUCAAGGAAUGGCUUGAGGGCCACCAAGAUCUGGGAGAUGGUAUCCCACUCCAUUUUGUUAAGGGGGCUGCUGAUCCCAAUCUCCCCAACCAAGACCAUCUCGUGGAUGGCCUUCUGUUGCUCGACCAGUCUUCUCAGCAUCACAUAUGUGGAGUUUCACCAAGUCUUCACAUCCUGCAUAAUUUUGUGCUGCAGGAUACCCAGCUCUGCCUGUUUCUCCUGUGGCAUCUUGCCCCCCUUGGUGCUCCGGUGGAAGUAGCUCACCACCUUCCUGCAUUUCGAAAUGAGCUGGCUGGUAGUGAUGGUGCUGUCACUGGCAGCCCUGUCCCCCUCCAAGGCAUUCCUGACUAUGAGGUAGAACUUGUGUGCCACACAGCGGAUGCCAACAAAGUUGGCAUCAUGCGCUGCCUUUAUCAUAUUGGCCCCAUUGUCAGUGACCACGAACCUGUGGGUGAGCUCACCCUGCCCAACAAGCCACACCUGCACCAUGCAGUUCAGGGCCACCAUGAUCUCCCUUGCCACGUGGGACUCAUCCAUCACCUCCACUUGAAGGAGAGCCCACUGAUGCCCUGACUGAUUGCACCAGUUCCCUGAGGGAGAGGUAGGCGUGAUCUCCACCCCAACUGCUCCAGAUGUCUGAGGUGAAGUGCAAAGCUAUCUGCAGACUUGCCUUCCACAGCUCCUCCCUCAAGUACUCCCUGCAUGCCUCAUACAGGGAGGGCACCACCGUCCUGCUAAUGGUGGUACAUGGGGGCACUUGGUACGAUGGGGUCACGAGCACCAUGAGCUGCCUGAACCCUGGAUGCUCAACAAAGGAGAAGGGCUGGCUAUCCAAAGUAAGCAUCUCCCCAGUGCUCUGGGUGACUUUGCCUACCUUGGGAACACCCCCCCUCCCCUUUGUCUCUGCCUUUCCCUCACUGGUCCAGCGUGGCCUGCCUCUGCUUCUUGGGGACGGGAGCUUUGGAGUAAGAGGGGGACUUCUUUUGGGCAUGCUCCCACUGGUGCCAGGCUGAGAAAGAACAAGGGCAAGGGGGUGCUGCCUCCUGAGAUGCAGCAGCAUUGCUGUGGUGGUGAAGUGUUUCACCUACUUGCCCCAACUGAUCUGCCUUCAGCAGUGCUGGCAGGUAGCAUACCUGGGAUCAUCUGCCACCUCAGAAUGAUCCCACAUUGCACCACCCACCUGCUUCUGGGUUGAGGGUGGGGAUCCAGCCUUAUCCCCCUCCUCACCAGGCAGAGGCACAACAACAGGACGAGCUGAGUCACCUAUCCCUACCUCCAAAGUGCCUUCCAGAGAAGGAGACCUGCCUCUAGGGGCACUUUGAGGGGUGUGGAGCACAAACUCAGAUUCCCCCUCCUUCCCCAGAAUUUCCUUCACUAUGGCCCUCAUCUCCUCUGCUUCCAGAUCCAGCUCUUCCUCUGCCACUGAAAGGCUCACACUGGCAACUGAAAUUGGGGUGGGGACUGUCAUGCUGCUGCUGGUUAGUGGUGUUAGUGCAGUUGCAGGCACUGCUCCCACCUCCUUGCUCCCACUAGCAGCAGAAGACUCAUUGCUGCCAGGAAAGAGUCUAUGUUUGGGGCAGGGGGAACUUGCAGCUCUCCCUCUACCCCCUCUCCCUCUGCUGCCAGAAGACCUGGCACCUGCCUUUCCAGCACGCUUCAUAAUGUUUGGUGUGUGGGGUGUGUGUGUGUGUAUGUAAUAUAUGUUGUGCUUUCCUGCACGGUGAUGACAAAGUCAGGAAAAAUACAGAUUUCUUUUUGUGGAGGGAAAGAAUCAAGACAGACUAACAAGAACAUAUAAGUGGAUUUAGGGGGAUGAAUAAGUUGAAAGGAAUGGAUAGGGAUAAGAAUAGGGAUUGCAGGCAAGGGUAAGUAGGAUAAAAGUUACAAGAAGAGAGACUAGAUAGCAAGAGACUAGCUGGCAAGUCAGAGCCUUUCAGACACUGCUGCUCCAAGAGAGACAGCUCACAAAAGGCACAGAUCACUUCAGACAGUUUUAAAUGUUGUUUCUACGUCCCUCUCCCAGAGCACUGCGAUUGGAAGGGAACUCAGAGAAAGAUCACAAUCACUGGACAGGUACAGAUGUCAAUCUCAGAGCAGUCUCCCCCCCCCCCGCCUUUUCCAUAUACGAAAGAUCACCCUACCCCCAUCCCUCUUCUCAGUUUGUUUGCUGCAAGCCUUCCAAAUCAAUUUGGAAGCUUCCGAUUCAAUUUUAACCUUUUAAAGGGUCUCCUAAUUUGACUCAAAUUUGGAGACUCGGCCACCAAAUCUCCUCCGAAUUGAAUCAGCUACCGAAGCUUCGUACAGCUCUAAUGGCCAGCUCAGAGUAGGACUGAGGUGCACAUGAGAGGAAGCUUGUUUUUCUGUAAUCAAGGCCACCAUUGUUCUGCAAAUGGAGAUUUGUCCCAGAGCUCCGAAUUUAGCACCUUCCAUAAACAGCAAAGCUACUUUAAAGCAUCAAAAAUUUUCAUGGGAAAACAGCAUUACUCCUUCCUCCAGCAACAGAAAGGUUAAGGUAUCCCUUACCAUCUUAUAUUGAGACUCAGAAGCCUUCAUCUACCUGUGCUUUCUUAUGCAUUUGAAACACCCAGAAAUCAAAGCUCUAGAAUUCAUUAAGCUAUCAUGCACUGCAUGCCAUAUGCCAACUUCAAAGGUAGCCAUUGGUAAUGCUGGGUCAGACAUUAAGGACUCAGGGCUUCUGGCCUAACCAAGGGCCAAGCAUGACAGUUUGGGACCUGUUCUCACUCCAGGUGAGACUGACAGCAGUCAGUUUGGCCAUCUACUUCAAAGAAGCAGGAUUAGCUACCUCCCAUUUACUGUGGGGUAGGAACAGGCAGUAAUUUAAGUGGAGUAGGUGAAGUGCAGUAAGCUCACAGGUUAUUUCAUCUUCCAGUAACUUGUUUGCAUGCCCAUGGCUAUCCAGCACCCAGACAAUGCUGAUUUAUGGAAAAAGAUGCAUUCCAGUUUUUUGCACAAAUUAAUGGAACACAAAAGCCUGGAGAACGUUGUUAUUCAAGUAUACAAAAAGGUGCUGACAAAGUCAUUUUUUCCCAAUUCCGAUUGCUACUAAUAAACAUGCUUACAAACAACAAAAUUUAACUCCAUUAUUCCACUGUAUGAACUACAGUACUUCAAAUAAAGAUCUUUGACAUUUUUAACCUACAGAUGACAUUACAAAACCAACAAUGCUUUCUUCAGUCAGUAAAACAGGUCAGGAAUUGUGUGGGUGGCUGAAUUAUUGGGUGCCUCAAACUUUACAUUCUGCAAAAAAUAUUUUUACAUUUUGGAUAUUCUCUCCUCUCCUUUCAGCUAGAUGUUAGUCCAUAAAUAGUUAUUCAGUCAUCUGCUAAAGACUGGGAGGAUUUCUUAGUCAGCUGUUCAGGGCCCAGCUAACUUAAAAGACUGAAUGCACUGGUGACUAACAGCUCCCCUCAUUCCCAGGGUCUGUUCCUUGUUUGACAAGGAAAAGUUAUUCUCAGCAAGUGCCUGCAUAUUCCUUUCCUGGCACCCACCUUAAGCAAAGAAGGCAUUAUCAGACAAAGUGUGGGAUUGGCAAUGGAAGACACAUCUCAAGAAUGAAGAAUAUAAACAGGUGCUAGCAUAGAGUAAUACAGCCUUGCAAACUUGCCAUGAAAUUGUCACCCCAAAGACAAAAUCUUAUUGAUGAGGAUAACGAAAAAAAUAAGGUAUGUUCAUUUCUCCUUCCAAAAAGUUCCUCGUCCAAGGCAAGUAAAAUUCUGCUAGUCUAUACUGGGGUAAUUUUGCAUUUUUGUUCAUUAUGAUGCAUACUAUCACUGCACAUAGAGAAAAUAAAAGUGUGUGUGUGUGUGUGUGUGAGAUUUCUCACUGUUCAUUAUUAUAGACCUGUACAGGCUAGGGCAAUGGUUACAAGAGCUACUAGGCACAAAGCCAAAUCCACAGCUGGUCUAAAUUGAUGCAAAUCUAUUGUAAUGGAUGGAGUUAUGCACACCUGGGGACUGGGCCCCUUAUUUCUUACAAAAUCCUACUUGUUUGAUUAUUACAGUAAAAAAUAAUCAUUUAUCAUGCUGACACACACACAAAAAAUGUGUAUACCCAGUACAUGCAUAUAUGUACAUAUAACACAUUGUGGAUCUCAUGGCUGAAUCAUUUGAUCACAGUGAAAUAUGUGUAAAUUAAGUGGGUAUAUGUAUUAUACAUAAACACCUCCUGUAGAUACAUUCCCCUCUCCUCCAUGCACCCCCAGAUACAUUUCACCAGGACUCAAUAAAUCAUUCAAGAUCUUCAUGCAAUGCUGACCCUGACAUUCUUCACAGGCCUUGCACCAUACCUGAAC